UACGUAGGGGGCUAGCGUUAUCCGGAUUUACUGGGCGUAAAGGGUGCGUAGGCGGUCUUUUAAGUCAGGAGUGAAAGGCUACGGCUCAACCGUAGUAAGCUCUUGAAACUGGAGGACUUGAGUGCAGGAGAGGAGAGUGGAAUUCCUAGUGUAGCGGUGAAAUGCGUAGAUAUUAGGAGGAACACCAGUAGCGAAGGCGGCUCUCUGGACUGUAACUGACGCUGAGGCACGAAAGCGUGGGGAGCAAACA
rnacentral:rRNA from 1 species